GACGAUCGCUGGCGGCGUGCUUAACACAUGCAAGUCGAACGGUGAAGCUCCAGCUUGCUGGAGUGGAUCAGUGGCGAACGGGUGAGUAACACGUGAGCAACCUGCCCCAGACUCUGGAAUAAGCGCUGGAAACGGCGUCUAAUACUGGAUACGAGAUCAAGCCGCAUGGUUAUGGUCUGGAAAGUUUUUCGGUUUGGGAUGGGCUCGCGGCCUAUCAGCUUGUUGGUGAGGUAAUGGCUCACCAAGGCGACGACGGGUAGCCGGCCUGAGAGGGCGACCGGCCACACUGGGACUGAGACACGGCCCAGACUCCUACGGGAGGCAGCAGUGGGGAAUAUUGCACAAUGGGCGAAAGCCUGAUGCAGCGACGCCGCGUGAGGGAUGACGGCCUUCGGGUUGUAAACCUCUUUCAGCAGGGAAGAAGCGAAAGUGACGGUACCUGCAGAAGAAGCACCGGCUAACUACGUG
rnacentral:rRNA from 1 species